UGGGGAAUUUUCCGCAAUGGGCGAAAGCCUGACGGAGCAAUACCGCGUGAGGGAGGAAGGCUCUUGGGUCGUAAACCUCUUUUCUCAAGGAAGAAGAAAGUGACGGUACUUGAGGAAUAAGCAUCGGCUAACUCCGUGCCAGCAGCCGCGGUAAUACGGAGGAUGCAAGCGUUAUCCGGAAUGAUUGGGCGUAAAGGGUCUGCAGGUGGAACUGAAAGUCUGCUGUUAAAGAGUUUGGCUUAACCAAAUAAAAGCGGUGGAAACUACAGAACUAGAGUGCGGUAGGGGCAAAAGGAAUUCCUGGUGUAGCGGUGAAAUGCGUAGAUAUCAGGAAGAACACCGGUGGCGAAAGCGUUUUGCUAGACCGUAACUGACACUGAGGGACGAAAGCUAGGGGAGCGAAUGGG
rnacentral:rRNA from 1 species